rnacentral:lncRNA from 1 species
GUCCUCCUAGAGAUCUAUACCAUGCACUGUACCGAAUAUGGAUUAGCAGGUCAUAACUUGCUAAGCGCUUGAGACAGGACACCUAGUCUGACACUGUAUGUUGUAGGUUGAUUCCAUCGAGCGACACAAGAGGAGGGACACUGAGUUGACAUAUCAGGCCUGCUGUAAAAGAAAAGGAAGAGACGUGUCGGACCUCUCUGGAAUGGAGUAAAAAGGUCAUUGGAGCUGCCGUUGAUGUGAAAUCCUUAGGGAACUCCGUUGCAAACAGACUGUGUUUCUAUCGAACACGUGGUGGGGGUUGUAAUCUAAAACACAUGCAAACAGACUGUGUUGUCACUUCGAUCGGGACCCACGUAACCUCCUAUCAAAUUUAGCUCUCCGUGUUACACCCGCGGCCGCUGUUUGCCUGCUUAACAAAGCCUGCUUACUUAGCAGAGACUGUAAAUGGUUUGCAGCUCAGCAGCAAACAACACGAAUCUUACCAUCACUGUACAACUCGGAUUAGAGGGUGCCGGGACUCCCGGGUGUUAUAGCACCUUUUAGUUUAUGAGAGUGGCUUUUUAGAACCCGGGUGUCCAGACACCCUCUUAUCACCACCGUAUGUCCUCCUAGAGAUCUAUACCAUGCACUGUACCGAAUAUGGAUUAGCAGGUCAUGACUUGCUAAGCGCUUGCGACAGGACACCUAGUCUGACACUGUAUGUUGUAGGUUGAUUCCAUCGAGCGACACAAGAGGAGGGACACUGAGUUGACAUAUCAGGCCUGCUGUAAAAGAAAAGGAAGAGACGUGUCGGACCUCUCUGGAAUGGAGUAAAAAGGUCAUUGGAGCUGCCGUAGAUGUGAAAUCCUUAGGGAACUCCGUUGCAAACAGACCGUGUUUCUAUCAAAGACGUGGUGGGGGUUGUAAUCUAAAACACAUGCAAACAGACUGUGUUGUCACUUCGAUCGGGACCCACGUAACCUCCUAUCAAAUCUAGCUCUCCAUGUUACACAUGCGGCCGCUGUUUGCCUGCUUAACAAAGCCUGCUUACUUAGCAGAGACUGUAAAUGGUUUGCAGCUCAGCAGCAAACAACACGAAUCUUACCAUCACUGUACAGCUCAGAUUAGAGGGUGCCGGGACUCCCGGGUGUUAUAGCACCUUUUCGUUUAUGAGAGUGGCUUUUUAGAACCCGGGUGUCCAGACACCCUCUUAUCACCACCGUAUGUCCUCCUAGAGAUCUAUACCAUGCACUAUACCGAAUAUGGAUUAGCAGGUCAUCACUUGCUAAGCGCUUGAGACAGGACACCUAGUCUGACACUGUAUGUUGUAGGUUGAUUCCAUCGAGCGACACAAGAGGAGGGACACUGAGUUGACAUAUCAGGCCUGCUGUAAAAGAAAAGGAAGAGACGUGUCGGACCUCUCUGGAAUGGAGUAAAAAGGUCAUUGGAGCUGCCGUUGAUGUGAAAUCCUUAGGGAACUCCGUUGCAAACAGACUGUGUUUCUAUCGAAAACGUGGUGGGGGUUGUAAUCUAAAACACAUGCAAACAGACUGUGUUGUCACUUCGAU